AUCGCUCUGGCGUUCGCUGUUGCAUGACGAGGUCAUGUUCCUGGAGGAGUGUCGGAACCAACAACGGAGGGAUCAGCGGAGGCGAAGACACCACCCUGCAAUUCCAAAAUCAUCCCAGCCCCCUGAUCCAGGCCUGACAUGUCCCCAUUGUGUCAGGACGUGUGGUUCCAGGAUUGAACUUCAUAGUCAUAUGGAGUGGCAUCGUCGCCAGCAACGAUAGCCACCCACCAGAGCAACAAAAUGGAAGCUACGUCAUCUUCGAUACGAUGGACCGCCUAAGAGAAGAGAGGAUCUAGCUAGCGACUAAGCUAACGAGGCUAGCGGAGAAAUGCAGCACCGGUCUGAAGGAAGUUAGUCCCCCGCCACCGUGACCACCACUUCCCGAAGACAGCUGGCACCCCACUCGGCGACAGAAAGUUCUAGGUGGAAGUCCAAAAGAAGAAAAAGGCUUGGACGUCAGAGGGCAGGAGCGAGGUCUUGGUCCAGGGAGGCAAGAGGGAAUCCAAAGUGGGUCCAGGUAGACGACGAGGAAGCUGGAGGACGACACAACACGAAAGACCGUCAACUCGACAGGAAGGGAACACAGGGAGCAAGAAGGCUGGAGAUGUGUUGGCUUACUGUACUGAGGCACACCCGCAGCGGAGAGGGAACACCUGUUGAUGUGCUCCGCCAUGCACUCAGUCCGCACAGCAGGAGGAGAAGCAGGAACGUGACCCAUAACACAUUGUGUUUGACUGUGGGACCUUCAAGGUCAUCUGGUUGUCAGAUCUGAGGCAACGACCAAGCCUGGAGCUGAUAGGUUGGUCCAGGAGAUGUUUGAUGUAAGCUGGGGCAAGACCACGGAGCGCUUUGAAGACAUACGUAAGGAUCUUAAAUUUCACUCUGUGCUUCACCAGGAGCCAGUGAAGGGAGGAGAGGAUGGGAGAAAUGUGUUCCCUCAUUUUUGUGCCUGUCACCAGCAUUUUGUACCAACUGCAUGCUAUAUAUGGUCUUGUCAGUGACCCCAGCAUAGAGGGCAUUCCAUUAGUCCAGUCUGCAGAAGAUGAGCAUGAACACGACCCUCUAAGUCACUGGGGGAGAGGACAGACUUGAUCUUGGCUAUUGUGCACAGUUGGGGGGUUGGAGUUCCCGAACAGAAGAAUUUCACUCUGUCAUUGAGCUGCAGGAAAUUUUGACAUCCACUCUUUUAUGUCCUGCAAGCAGUCCUUCAAAUGGUCCAGUCCAGAGGGAUCGUCUGUCUUGAGUGGAAGAUAGAUUUAGUAUCAUCAGUGUAGAAAUGAAAGGAAAUUUUAUGGCGAUGAAUGACUUGGCUGAGGGAGAGCAUGUAGAUGGAGAACAGGAUGGAACCCAGUAUUGAGCCCUAGGGACCCCUCAGGUGAAGGUGGCACAGCGGGAGGAAUGUUUGGCUCUGUUCACAGAGAAGGUUCCGUUGUUGAUGGAGGACGUAAACCAGCACAGGGCUAUGUUAGUGAUGCCAACCUCUUAUUUCCCCAGAUACACAAUACAUCCAACAUUGGCCGGCCACACACA